rnacentral:rRNA from 1 species
ACGGCGGACGGGUGAGUAACGCGUAGGUAACCUACCCUGUACACACGAUAACAUACCGAAAGGUAUGCUAAUACGGGAUAAUAUAUUUGAGAGGCAUCUCUUAAAUAUCAAAGGUGAGCCAGUACAGGAUGGACCCGCGUCUGAUUAGCUAGUUGGUAAGGUAACGGCUUACCAAGGCGACGAUCAGUAGCCGACCUGAGAGGGUGAUCGGCCACAUUGGAACUGAGACACGGUCCAA